AACGAACGCUGGCGGCAUGCCUAACACAUGCAAGUCGAACGAGACCUUCGGGUCUAGUGGCGCACGGGUGCGUAACGCGUGGGAAUCUGCCCUUCGGUUCGGAACAACAGUUAGUAAUGACUGCUAAUACCGGAUAAUGACGUAAGUCCAAAGAUUUAUCGCCGAAGGAUGAGCCCGCGUAAGAUUAGGUAGUUGGUGGGGUAAUGGCCUACCAAGCCGACGAUCUUUAGCUGGUCUGAGAGGAUGAUCAGCCACACUGGGACUGAGACACGGCCCAGACUCCUACGGGAGGCAGCAGUGGGGAAUAUUGGACAAUGGGCGAAAGCCUGAUCCAGCAAUGCCGCGUGAGUGAUGAAGGCCUUAGGGUUGUAAGCUCUUUUACCAGGGAUGAUAAUGACAGUACCUGGAGAAUAAGCUCCGGCUAACUCCGUGCCAGCAGCCGCGGUAAU
rnacentral:rRNA from 1 species